rnacentral:rRNA from 1 species
UACGUAGGGGGCAAGCGUUGUCCGGAUUUAUUGGGCGUAAAGCGCGCGCAGGCGGCUUCUUAAGUCUGAUGUGAAAGCCCGCGGCUCAACCGCGGAGGGUCAUUGGAAACUGGGGAGCUUGAGUGCAGAAGAGGAGAGUGGAAUUCCACGUGUAGCAGUGAAAUGCGUAGAUAUGUGGAGGAACACCAGUGGCGAAAGCGGCUCUCUGGUCUGUAACUGACGCUGAGGCGCGAAAGCGUGGGGAGCAAACAGG